GUUUAAAAAAAUGUAAAAAAUAAUCUGGAGAAGAACAGUUGGGUGGCGGAUGGGGAGGAGCACCUGAGUGGAGCGAUUUUUAGGAGGUAGCAGCUACAGGAAUUGGUGUCCCUUUGGAUAGCAGAGCUGAGGAAGGCACCCUGAAGGAGCCUGGCUUGGGUCACUAGGUAGGAAGUGGUGCCUUUCAUCAAGAUGGAGCAGGUGCAUGCAGAAAGAUGGUUGAUUUUCGGUAGGACUGUGCCAUCAGCCUUCUCAAGCUCUCGGAAUGGGGUGGGACUUGUAUUAUCCCCUGCAAAAUAAUGAGCAGCUUUUUAUCAAAUGCCAAAUCCAUUAUCACCUAGUAUCCAUUAUUGCUGUUGGGAAGUUCUAGGCUGGACUGAUUUUCAUUCCUUUGUCUAGGACUGUUUUGUUGCUUCAGAAGUUUUUACAGUGUCUCAGCUGUGGGGUUUUGGUGUUCAUCUUGUUCAUGAGCUCGCAGAGCCUUUCUGUUCUAAGUCUCAUGACUGCCUUUUACUGUAGAAAAUGUUAUUGUACUGUUUCUAGGAAUUAAUAUUAAUUCUCUAGUGUUACAAAGAGUUGGAAUAAAAAAAACCUUAAAAUGUC